ensembl:lncRNA
UGUCUUUAAAUGCGUACAGAGGACAGAAGGAGAGAGAAACCUUUUUUUUAUUGUCUGAAAAUCAGAAUCCGUAUUUUUCUUUUCACUACACACAGACAUCGGCAAGGUCAGGCGGUUCACACCACUGUAUUAGCAGAGUAGCAGGUGGCCUCACAGAUGGAGACUGGUAUCACCGUUCACACCAGUAUAUGGUGUCUAUUAGUAUCUUGCUGAGAUUGGCUGGUUGCUCAGGUUCAUGGUCACGCUAAAAUACAAAAAAUCAUUUAUCUAAUCUCUCCUAACACUUCUGUCUUCAUUCUUCUAGAUCUUUUUAAAUCAUUUUAGCCCCACCUGUUUGAGAAAAUAAAUCUACAGUUUCUAUUCAUGAAAGGAAGCCUCUGGUAAAACAUAGGGUGGGGUCCCACAUCAUUUUCCUGUAGUUGUGGUUUGCAGACACGUGCAGUAUUUUGGCAGCCAAAAGAAGCAGUUUCAGUUAUCUUCUUUCUUUCUUUCUUUCUUUCUUUCUUUCUUUCUUUCUUUCUUUCUUUCUUUCUUUCUUUCUUUCUUUCUUUCUUGGGUUCACACAAAGUUGGAAAAGAGAAUGUCAAAAGAGUGAGCAGAGAAAGAAAAAAACAAGGUUACUCAAAGUGGUUCACAGCAAUUAAACACCAUCCUCUAUCUACCUGCCACUGUCUGUCACUGUCCUGCUCCAUCAGUCACAUCUCGCCUCUGCCAUCAGCUCCAUCAGGACUGGAGGCAGAAGGGUGCAUAACCAGACUUAAAAUUCUGAUUGUGGUUGAAAAUAUAAGGCAAAGUAAAGGAUCGUGUUGUUUUCUUCUUUUUUUAGCAUCUGCUCUCAUUUCUUUGCUAUACCCUGUUGUGUAGGUCUGUUCUGUCGCCCCAUAUUUUUUCCUGCCUGUUUUCUUUCACAUGAAGCCACAUGUGCUUAUGGUCCUCUAUGGUUUGAGGACAGAAGUGUGUGGGUGUCACUGAGCCUCUUUCAGACAUGCAUUCAUGCAAUCUAAACGGGCUGGUUUCAUGUCUGAAUGAGCACCCUGGUCAUUUUUCUGUACAAGUCACAACAGCAGGCACGCACAAGAUUACCACUGCACAUGUCUCUCAAGCUGUUUGUGAGUAGCUCACUGAGAAACUGGAGAAUUCCCUAAACAGAAAUACCAUCUACAUAAUAACAUUUAUCCUGACCAAUUUGUUUCUAAUUUGC